rnacentral:snoRNA from 1 species
UCUCAGUGAUGUCUAAAUUACGAUGACGAGUCCGAUCGAAAUCCAUUCGACAUAAAAUCGUGACGACAAAUCGAGGCAUUUGUCUGAGAGGA